rnacentral:rRNA from 1 species
GACGAACGCUGGCGGCGUGCCUAAUACAUGCAAGUCGAACGAAGUUGUUUUAACUGGUGCUUGCACCGACUUAAACAACUGAGUGGCGAACGGGUGAGUAACACGUGGGUAACCUGCCCCAAAGUGGGGAUAACAUUUGGAAACAGAUGCUAAUACCGCAUAACCACAGAAACCUCAUGGUUUCUGUGUCAAAGAAUGGUUUCGGACUAUCACUUUGGGAAUGGACCCGCGGCGUAUUAG